ACCUAAGCGAUGAAAUCCAAAGGUGAAUCUUUUGGUUGGUGAUUUUGAUGAUAGCCACAAAGCAAGCAGGCUGUAUGGUAGCCUUGAAAACCAACAGGCCACAAUCACAGUGAAAACCUCAGGUUGGCAGCCACUGGAGGAUACAAAAUGAGUUUGGAUCUCCUUCAAUGCCCCAUUCCCAGAGAACUGUCAUUAUUUGACCUGCUGGUAGUUCCCUAAAGGACGUGCAAGGAUGUUUUUAUUUGACUGGACACUUGAAGCUUGCCCUGUAUGAACAGCCCCCAUCUUCCCAUGCUUGUCAAAAAUCAGAGGCAACUAACACUGCGGCUUCCUGAGAGUCUCACUCUGUCACCCAGGCUGGAGAGCAAUUGCACAAACACUUGGCUCACUGCAGCCUCAACUUCUUGUCCUCAAGUGAUCCUCCCACCUUAGCCUCCUAAGUAGCUGGGACCACAGGGAACUCCGGAUGUGACUCCUGUUACAUGAAAAUGGAAGAGGUCAGAGUUGUCCAAGAGGGAGGCCAGCCACAUCCAGGCAGGGCCCCCAUGGUCAGAACCCUGCUAGAGCCAUCAAGGUCCCAGAGCUCCCAAGAUGGUGGCAAGCCUUUUGUUCUCUGACCAGAGGUUCCUGGCCUCACGGAUUCCAAGGAAUGGAACCUUGGGCCAUGCGUGCACUUGAUUUUGCAGAUGAGUCUGGAAGUGUUAGUUGCAAAGAUAUGCAUUUACUUCUCUGGCUACAAAAAAGAAUAGAAAUGCACAAAGCAGAGCAGUGUGAAGAAGAAGAGGCGAUGACCCCUAGACCGACCAAAGCCCGUGCUCCACUGCCCAGUGCCUAUGUCCCACCACUGUCGCUGCCACCCUGCCCGAGAGAAAGGCUGAAGGGGAUGCUAAAGGAGAUAAAACCAAGGUUAAGUAGGAACUGCAGAGAAGAUCCACAAGGUUGUCUGCUAAACCUGCUCCUCCAAAGCCACAGCCGAAGCCCAGAAAGGCCUCUGCAAAGAAGAGAGAGAAGGUACCUACAGAGAAGAAGGGAAAAGCUGAUGCUGGCAAGGAGGGGAAUAACCCUGCAGAAAAUGGAGAUGCCAAAACAGACUAGGCACAGAAAGCUAAAGGUGCUGGAGAUGCCAAGUGAAGUGUGUGCAUUUUUGAUAACUGUGUACUUCUGGUGACUGUACAGUUUGAAAUACUAUUUUUUAAUCAAGUUUUAUAAAAAUGCAGAUUUUGUUUAGCUUUUUUUUUUUUUUUUAAGCUAUGUUAGUACACAGAAUACUUCAUUGUUGUUUUGGGGAGAAGGGCCAUAUGUCACUAAUAGAAAGCCCCUGAAGCUGGACUGAUGUGGGGAAAACACCUUUUCCUUCUGGUUUUGAGAGACUUCCUCUUGGGUCCCAGGAAGAGGGAUUCCCUGACUUUGAUACACAUGGCCACCUUGGUAUAAAAGCCUUGUGGUAUGGAAAAACAAAUUCGUUUUUUAUGUCCUCUUCUCUGUUUCUACCUUUCAGAAUGGACUUAAAUCCCUUAAACCCAGACAUCUUCUGGGACCUGACCCCCAAUAAUUGGUUACCAGUGUGUCAGGCAAUCUGGACUUUGCCCUCAAAAGAGCAGUGGUUCCUGUUUCUAGGUUGUGGAUCUUCAGAUAAAUUCUGUCAUUUUCCUUUCACUUCCUGAAAGCCAGGGUCGGUUCAUGAAAAGCUAUGAAACAGCAUGCUAAAUGUGAAAUGUCAACCCUCACUAAACUUUGCCGGUUCAGAGCAUCAGAUGAAGACUUCAUUGGGUUUUACAGUGGCUUUCUGAUUUUUGGUAGUCCAUUGAAGAAGGGAGUUUGAAAGUUGUUGUAUACUGUUAACGAUUGUCUGCCCAUGUCCUGCCCAAAAUACCAUGAUUCUUUAUGGAAAUUAUCUUUAAUAAAGCUGGAUACAGUUUGGCUUGGG